AGUCGAGCGGGCGAGGUUGCUUCGGUAACUGAGCUAGCGGCGGACGGGUGAGUAAUGCUUAGGAAUCUGCCUAUUAGUGGGGGACAACAUUCCGAAAGGAAUGCUAAUACCGCAUACGCCCUACGGGGGAAAGCAGGGGAUCUUCGGACCUUGCGCUAAUAGAUGAGCCUAAGUCAGAUUAGCUAGUUGGUGGGGUAAAGGCCUACCAAGGCGACGAUCUGUAGCGGGUCUGAGAGGAUGAUCCGCCACACUGGGACUGAGACACGGCCCAGACUCCUACGGGAGGCAGCAGUGGGGAAUAUUGGACAAUGGGCGCAAGCCUGAUCCAGCCAUGCCGCGUGUGUGAAGAAGGCCUUUUGGUUGUAAAGCACUUUAAGCGAGGAGGAGGCUACUUGGAUUAAUACUCUAGGAUAGUGGACGUUACUCGCAGAAUAAGCACCGGCUAACUCUGUGCCAGCAGCCGCGGUAAUACAGAGGGUGCGAGCGUUAAUCGGAUUUACUGGGCGUAAAGCGUGCGUAGUGCGGCUUCUUAAGUCGGAUGUGAAAUCCCUGAGCUUAACUUAGGAAUUGCAUUCGAUACUGGGAAGCUAGAGUAUGGGAGAGGAUGGUAGAAUUCCAGGUGUAGCGGUGAAAUGCGUAGAGAUCUGGAGGAAUACCGAUGGCGAAGGCAGCCAUCUGGCCUAAUACUGACGCUGAGGUACGAAAGCAUGGGGAGCAAACAGGAUUAGAUACCCUGGUAGUCCAUGCCGUAAACGAUGUCUACUAGCCGUUGGGGCCUUUGAGGCUUUAGUGGCGCAGCUAACGCGAUAAGUAGACCGCCUGGGGAGUACGGUCGCAAGACUAAAACUCAAAUGAAUUGACGGGGGCCCGCACAAGCGGUGGAGCAUGUGGUUUAAUUCGAUGCAACGCGAAGAACCUUACCUGGUCUUGACAUAGUAAGAACUUUCCAGAGAUGGAUUGGUGCCUUCGGGAACUUACAUACAGGUGCUGCAUGGCUGUCGUCAGCUCGUGUCGUGAGAGUUGGGUUAAGUCCCGCAACGAGCGCAACCCUUUUCCUUAUUUGCCAGCGGGUUAAGCCGGGAACUUUAAGGAUACUGCCAGUGACAAACUGGAGGAAGGCGGGGACGACGUCAAGUCAUCAUGGCCCUUACGACCAGGGCUACACACGUGCUACAAUGGUCGGUACAAAGGGUUGCUACCUAGCGAUAGGAUGCUAAUCUCAAAAAGCCGAUCGUAGUCCGGAUUGGAGUCUGCAACUCGACUCCAUGAAGUCGGAAUCGCUAGUAAUCGC
rnacentral:rRNA from 1 species